GGGCGAGUGGCGGAAUGGUAGACGCGCUAGACUCAAAAUCUGGUAUUCGCAAGGAUGUAGGGGUUCAAGUCCCCUCUUGCCCA
rnacentral:tRNA from 1 species